GCCUCCUUAGCUCAGGGGAUAGAGCGUCUGCCUCCGGAGCAGAAGGUCGUAGGUUCGAAUCCUACAGGGGGCACCA
rnacentral:tRNA from 1 species